rnacentral:rRNA from 1 species
AAUCAACGCUGGCGGCGUGCCUAACACAUGCAAGUCGAACGGGAAAGUGGAGCAAUCCAUGAGUAUAGUGGCGACCGGGUGAGUAACACGUGACUAACCUACCUUCAAGUGGGGGAUAACCUCGGGAAACCGGGGCUAAUACCGCAUAACAUCUCUGUUAUGAGAAAGCAGAGAUCAAAGGAGUAAUUCGCUGGAAGAGGGGGUCGCGGCUGAUUAGCUAGUUGGUGGGGUAACGGCCCACCAAGGCUUUGAUCGGUAGCCGGCCUGAGAGGGCGCACGGCCACACUGGAACUGAAACACGGUCCAGACUCCUACGGGAGGCAGCAGUGGGGAAUUUUGCGCAAUGGGGGAAACCCGUGACGCAGCAACGCCGCGUGGAGGAUGAAGUCCCUUGGGACGUAAACUCCUUUCGACCGGGAAGAUUAUGACGGUACCGGUGGAAGAAGCCCCGGCUAACUUCGUGCCAGCAGCCGCCGU